rnacentral:rRNA from 1 species
CUACGGGCGGCUCCAGUGAGGAAUAUUGCACAAUGGGGGGAACCCUGAUGCAGCAACGCCGCGUGGAGGAUGACGCAUUUCGGUGUGUAAACUCCUUUUAUAUGUCAAGAAAAUGACGGUAGCAUAUGAAUAAGCACCGGCUAACUCCGUGCCAGCAGCCGCGGUAAUACGGAGGGUGCAAGCGUUACUCGGAAUCACUGGGCGUAAAGGACGCGUAGGCGGGUUGGAAAGUCAGGUGUGAAAUCCUACAGCUUAACUGUAGAACUGCACUUGAAACUUCUAAUCUAGAGUAUGGGAGGGUGAGAUGGAAUUAGUGGUGAAGGGGUAAUCUCCGUAGAUAUCACUAGGAAUACCUAAAGCGAAGGCGAUCUCCUGGAACAUUACUGACGCUAAGGCGUGAAAGCGUGGGGAGCAAACAGGAUUAGAUACCCCAGUAGUC